rnacentral:lncRNA from 1 species
AAAGUUUUCAAAACAAACGUUGCUCCUCCGUACGGGUCGUUGCAUCUGUGCUAUCAUCAACUGCUUCUUACAUUCCCUCGCGCAAAAUAAUCGCCCUUUGGCAUACGCCUAAAAUGACAAAUUGCAAGCUGUGCUCAACCUAUUAAUGGCCCGUUUGGCCUUGCUAUUGUUGAUACGUCGUCUAGGCGUGCUUAUCUCCUCGGUUCUGGUCCAACCGGUGAGCUGCAAGAUGAUGUGCACGACGUCAACUACAUGCACGAGGCCUACAAAACCCGCGUUCAAAACCCCGAGUAACCACAUUGUCUUCUGCUUUUACGUAAGUGACAAAUGGCACUCGACGAGGCUCCGUGCCAUUUUACCAGGAGAAGUUAUCGGCCAUGGUAACAACUCAGAAAGGACUUUUCCGACGCGCCUCAACGGCAGAUCUCAUAGUUUCAUCCCAAAUAGCUGCUACCAUAUUAUAUUCCGCAACACAACAACCCAAACGACCCAUCCAACAGAAGUUCAACCCCGUCAGCGAUGGCGCCAGAUUAGCCCCAAAAGCCCUAAUGUAAGUCCCCUUCAUCACCCUUCAAUCAGCCUCAAUCACCUUGACGUGCUUGUGCAUGCGCGCUUGUAUGUCCUUGGUGCAGGCUUUUUGCUUUGGCUCCUGAUGAAGGAAUGAACGACCUAGGUCUAAGAAAUCGAUACCCUACUGGAACGAACUCAAACUGGAGGAGAGCUGGUGUAAGAGAGGGGUCUGUUUUCGGUACGGACCAAACCAAAGUGACUCCGCAGCACCCCGCUUUCCCCCCGCUCUAAGUGGAUACACGCUAUGCGAAUAGGACAUGAGUGAUGUGCCCUUGGUGGGCCGUUCCGCCUAGCCGGUUUUGCUGAUUUAUCGUGGUGGAAAUUGCCCAAGAAGGGCUGGGAAGGAGACUGGUGCUUUUGUCGCACGGUGGCACUUCAGGUGGAGACUACGUGUUAUCGUUCGUGGAGAUGAAAAAGAGAUAAAAAAGCGAGGUAACGACUCCCCUUUAGGGGAAGAAGGGGAACACCCCUUCAGAACUGCGUAUGACCGAUAGGACCGCCUGUCAUAAUUUAGGCGAAGGUGGAAUGCUUGCUGCGCGUCUUGCUGCCAAGCCUUACAAUCGAUGGACGCUAACAUGUUUUGUUGCUUUAACGAUACUGUCAUCAGCUAAAUGAUCGACAUCGCGGUAGCACAACAAUAUGUUGGCAUUACCGGGGGGGAAUUGUUUUCAACCAGCAUGUUUUGGAGGUUGUUCAAACCCUAAGCCCCCUUAACACCUUCAAAACUUCGAAAAGCCUGGUCACGCAUCUUUCCAAGAGCAAGCCAGCAGGUCCACCCCAGGAUUGCCUUUUGUACGCUCUUACUUUUUAUAGUUAUACUCUAGCUCUACAUAAUCUCAAAUAUUUCAAAACCAAAUAAUAUAACAUUAAGUGCAUUUAGACCAUAAGAAGAUAGUAAGAAUAUUAAAAUAUAUAAUUAUCAUUAUUAGUAGGUAUUAUUAUUAUAAUUAGUUCUUAAGUAAUUAUUAUUUAUUUUAUAAUUAUAACUAUAUUUUUUGAGGGGAGAGAUCAAAGGUGUUUUCUCCUCUUUUCUCUUCUUCAAAAAAGAUACGGUCUAAUGGUUCUGGGUAUCCUAAAAUUUACCAAUCAUAAAUCAUAAAUUUUUUAAAACAUAUUCACCUUUUAUGCCUAUUUGUCCCUUCUUAAAAAAUAUUUUACUAAUAAAUGAGCUUGCUACAGAUAUUCAUAAAAAGACAUUCGAUAUGUUCGUUUCUAAGUGCCUGCGUAUCAUCGUGUCUAUGUGCGGCCCUUACAUACCCGCCAGGUGGUUAUCGUUGGCCAUGUACCCCAUUCUUCUGGAUCCACUUGGCGGCAAUAACGCCUCCACCGUGAAGGGAGGCUGGGACGCGUCUGACAGUACAUUCUUCAAGUCUGCGGCUGCUUCAAGCGUCACCAGGGCAUUGUGCAGCCCGAGUGGAAGUGGUUUACAUACGGGGUGGAAAAGUGCGCCGAGCGCGGUCCGCAACGGUCAAAACUUUCUACCAACAGAUGUGUUAAUACUUAAACUGUAUUCGAAACGUAUAGAGAUGGCCAUACCGAAACCGGUAGCAGCAGCGCCCAUGUCCAGCCACAUCACAUUUCCGUCUGGUCUGGGUAGACACUACUGCAAUAAGCGGUUUUAAGGUCCUGGGUUCAAUUCCUGGGGAGACCCCAGGAUUAGACGGGAGCGCGAGAUUAUGCCUAGCUGCUGAGAUGUGGAGUUGGGGUCACAGUUGAUGGACCAGAUUCGCACGCUGGAUUGGUGGCGAUUGUCGAACCCUCCGUCUCUUCGGAUGUUCGGGUGAAUGGAUGAGGAGGGGUCCCUGAAGGCUGGAUCCGCCGCCUUGGACUUACAAUUCGUAUGGCGAAGACAGUGUGGUAGUGGUGGAUGGUGCUAUAAGGUGAUAAAUCGUAGAACUGACAAUGUGAUAAAGCGGCCCAGAAGCCUCCCACUCUGUAACAUUACAAAUUACAUUACAAUAGCCCACUUCACGUCUAUGUGUGGGAUGCGCCAGAAAGAAUCAGACCAAAUAUCUUAGUAGUAUUCAUGUGGAACAUAAGGCGGGAACUUUUGAGUUCUAUGCGGAGGCUCUGAUGUGACCAAAGGGGUGCUAAUCCACACGUGGUCAGUAUGGUGCCGACUCGCUCGUUCCUCUGGUCACGUGGAUGUUUGAGCUAGAUGUUGACGCAUCUAGAUAAGUAAUGUGUAAAACUUUUGUCACUUCGAUAUGCGAGAAAACUGGCAGGAGUCUGAGCCUGCCGCCUAAUAACUCGUUUUUCGUUUCACUUGCCACAUUCGCAGCAACGGACCAGAGAUGCAGCGUAAGACAUAAAAUGGCAGACAAGUUAUAUGAAUCUAAGAUAUUUAAGCAGCCCCUCGCACAAAUGUGUCCGGUCGUACUUCGCGAAUAAACAGUUCGUACAUCGUCCCAAAAG